rnacentral:rRNA from 1 species
GACGAACGCUGGCGGCGUGCCUAAUACAUGCAAGUAGAACGAGUUGCGAACGGGUGAGUAACGCGUGGUAACCUGCCUCAUAGCGGGGGAUAACUAUUUGAAACGAUAGCUCAUACCGCAUACCAUCAGAUGUGCCCAGAUGGGAUUAGCUUGUUGGUGUGGUAACGGCUCCCCAAGGCGACGAUCCCUAGCUGGUCUGAGAGGAUGACCAGCCACACGGGAACUUAGACACGGUCCAGACUCCUACGGGAGGCACCAGUGGGGAAUAUUGCACAAUGGGCGCAAGCCUUAUGCAGCCAUGCCGCGUGUGUGAAGAAGGCCUUCGGGUUGUAAAGUACUUUCAGCGGGGAGGCGUUACCCGAAUAAGAGGCACCGGCUAACUACGUGCCAGCGGCCGCGGUAAUUC